GACGAACGCUGGCGGCGUGCCUAAUACAUGCAAGUCGAGCGGACUUGAAGAGAAGCUUGCUUCUCGGAGAGUUAGCGGCGGACGGGUGAGUAACACGUAGGUAACCUGCCUGGAAGACUGGGAUAACAUUCGGAAACGAAUGCUAAUACCGGAUACGCGGUUUGGUCGCAUGGCCGAACCGGGAAAGACGGAGCAAUCUGUCACUUUCAGAUGGACCUGCGGCGCAUUAGCUAGUUGGUGGGGUAACGGCUCACCAAGGCGACGAUGCGUAGCCGACCUGAGAGGGUGAUCGGCCACACUGGGACUGAGACACGGCCCAGACUCCUACGGGAGGCAGCAGUAGGGAAUCUUCCGCAAUGGACGCAAGUCUGACGGAGCAACGCCGCGUGAGUGAGGAAGGCCUUCGGGUCGUAAAGCUCUGUUGCCAGGGAAGAACGGGUGGAGGAGUAACUGCCUUCAUCAUGACGGUACCUGAGAAGAAAGCCCCGGCUAACUACGUGCCAGCAGCCGCAGUAAAAC
rnacentral:rRNA from 1 species